CGAACGGGUGAGUAACGCGUGGGGAAUCUGCCUUUGAGCGGGGGACGAACAUUUGGAAACGAAUGCUAAUACCGCAUAAAAACUUUAAAACACAAGUUUUAAGUUUGAAAGAUGCAAUUGCAUCACUCAAAGAUGAUCCCGCGUUGUAUUAGCUAGUUGGUGAGGUAAAGGCUCACCGAGGCGAUGAUACAUAGCCGACCUGAGAGGGUGAUCGGCCACAUUGGGACUGAGACACGGCCCAGACUCCUACGGGAGGCAGCAUG
rnacentral:rRNA from 1 species